GAAAUGCUUACAAGGUAUUGCACUGACUCCUAAGAUUUUUAUAAUUAUGCUUACAUUAUUCAUAAAAAAUAAUAAUAAUUUAUUAUGAAGAAUACUUUGCAGUUCGAAGCUCCAAAAAGAACAAAACAACACAUGGCGAAUCAUCAAACACCAAUACUGAUGUGAUGAUGAUUUCCAAGAUGUACCACCGAUGCUUACCCAAGGUAAACCAAAAGACAGAACUGCUACACCAAAAAAACACAAAAGAAGAGAGUUAAAUGCAGUAGCAACAAGAAAAGAAAUCAAAUGCAAAGCAUAGCGGAUAACAACAAUGACGAGGAAGACAACUAUCCACAGCUAAACAUAAGAAGCACACUACAAGAGGCUACGUGAUCUCAACGAUGCCCAACUUAGAGCUGUUAAUGCUAUUGGAUUUGGCAAAAUCUUGAAAUU